AUAGAGACUCAGAGCUGCAUAUCAAUAAGCGGAGGAAAAGAGACUAACAAGGAUUCCCCUAGUAACGGCGAGUGAAGCGGGAAGAGCUCAAAUUUGAAAUCUUAAAGGGUUCUACCUUGACGAAUUGUAGUUUAAAGAAGUGUUUUCUGUCAGUGGAGUUCGGUAAAAGUUCUUUGGAAUAGGACAUCAUAGAGGGUGAGAAUCCCGUAUUUGGUCAUUCCUUCUAGCUUUGUGAUACACUUUCAAAGAGUCGGAUUGUUUGGGAAUGCAGUCCAAAAUGGGUGGUAAAUUUCAUCUAAAGCUAAAUAUUGGCGAGAGACCGAUAGCGAACAAGUACCGUGAGGGAAAGAUGAAAAGAACUUUGAAAAGAGAGUUAAACAGUACGUGAAAUUGUCAAAAGGGAAGCGUUUGACACCAGUGUUGUUUUUCCGAAAAUCAAUUACGAAUGUUUUAGUUUUUGAGGAGUUAUGACUUCAUCGGCUUGCUUCUCUCUUUAUGAAACUUUCUUAAUGCACUUUUCGGUUAACAAGUCAACAUCAAUUUCUUUUGUUGUAAAAGGGUAUGAGGAAGGUGGCUUUCUUUUCGGAGAAAGUGUUUAUAGCCUUGUGCCUCUGCAAUCGGAGAGAUUGAGGUCUGCAGCGUAGAUCCUUCGGGGUUAGAUACGUUUGUGCUAAGUUAUAGCUUUUCAUAGACAACUUGUUGACUAUGUUUAGUCUUGUAGCUUACUCGCUGACGCUAUUUUACCUACGCUUAGGAUGUUGACGAGACUGUCGAUCUC
rnacentral:rRNA from 1 species